GGCUGGUUGGAGUGCAGCGCUUUUUACAAUUGAUCAGAACCAGUUAUAAAUUUAUCAUUUCCUUCUCCACUCCUGCUGCUUCAGUUGACUAAGCCUAAG
ensembl:misc_RNA Y_RNA Y RNA